AGCUUGUUGGUGGGGUAGUGGCCUACCAAGGCGACGACGGGUAGCCGGCCUGAGAGGGCGACCGGCCACACUGGGACUGAGACACGGCCCAGACUCCUACGGGAGGCAGCAGUGGGGAAUAUUGCGCAAUGGGCGAAAGCCUGACGCAGCGACGCCGCGUGGGGGAUGACGGCCUUCGGGUUGUAAACCUCUUUCAGCAGGGACGAAGUUGACGUGUACCUGCAGAAGAAGCGCCGGCUAACUACGUGCCAGCAGCCGCGGUAAUACGUAGGGCGCAAGCGUUGUCCGGAAUUAUUGGGCGUAAAGAGCUCGUAGGUGGCUUGUCGCGUCGGGUGUGAAAGCUUGGGGCUUAACUCCAGGUCUGCAUUCGAUACGGGCUGGCUAGAGGUAGGUAGGGGAGAACGGAAUUCCUGGUGUAGCGGUGAAAUGCGCAGAUAUCAGGAGGAACACCGGUGGCGAAGGCGGUUCUCUGGGCCUUACCUGACGCUGAGGAGCGAAAGCGUGGGGAGCGAACAGGAUUAGAUACCCUGGUAGUCCACGCUGUAAACGUUGGGCGCUAGGUGUGGG
rnacentral:rRNA from 1 species